AUCUGGUCAUCGUCGCUCUCCUCCUCAAUGCCCCCAUUUCUGCUCUGUUCCAGAUGAUGUUGGGCAUCUCUCAGCAUCGCCUCUUCCUCCAGCAGUACUCUAUCACCAUGGAAGCUGCCAAAGGGGACGAAACUAAAAAUGACUGAAUUAGUAUCUAAUCCAGACUACAACAGCUACAAAUGGCUCAAGGCAAAGAAUUAACAGAUUUCAGAGUAGAAGUAUCUAGUUCAUUAUCUGAAAUGACUAGCAGACAAAUCAAGAGUUAUCUUUCCCGGCCUGGUAAAUAUGGAAAGACCGGAGUAUGCAGCUUGUAUUCUAGAAGAUGAAAAUUAUACACCACAAAAACUGCUCAUAGUAUCAUUUCACUUAGAUAGCAUAGCCGAAAAAUAUUUUCAUGGAUGGAAGCUAGUGGAUUUCUAUCAAACUGGAAGAAAUUUGCAAGUGAUGUAACAAGAAAAUUCAACAGGGUAUACUACAUACUCUUUACCAGGAGGGAAGUUGAGCAAACUAAUACAAGAUUCGAGUGUGGCUGAGUAUCAAAAUAAAUUCGAGGAGAUGUGCACAAGGUGCUUGGGAUUACCAGAAUAUUUCAUUCUUUUUAAAAGAAGAAAUCAAGAAGGAGGUGAUUAAAGCUAGACCCAAUGAUUUGCAAGAGGCUGGUGAUGUGGCUCUAUUGAUUGAAGGACAAACAUGACCUAACUACAAUAAAUUUAACUACAUCAAACACAACAAAAAUUGGGGAAAUACAAUAGGCAUGCACAACAUACAAAGUUGGAAAUGAAACCAAUAAAAAUGAAGUUAAAACAGAAAAAGAAAAAUCAGGAGAGUUACCAACUUUCAAAAGGCUGUCCCAAGAAGAAAGAAAGGAAAAAACAUCCAAAGGUCUACGCUUUAACUGUGAAGAUAAGUUCACACCUGGACACAAUUGUAAAAGCAGAAUUUUCAUGCUCUCAACUGAUGAAUCUUGCUUUGUGGAAGUAGAGAACAAAGAAGAAAUACCAUCUGUGAUCACAAAUAAUGAUUCUCCUUCAUGGAUCAGUAUGCAUGUCUUUGAAGGGCACAUGAACCCUAGCACUUUCAAGUUAAAAUGUUAUAUCAAGAGUCAAGUUGUAAGUAUACUAGUAGACUCGAUCUACA
rnacentral:lncRNA from 1 species